rnacentral:lncRNA from 1 species
GAGACGCUCUGCCCAGCCCAGGGACUGCCACAGCGACGAUCGCACUCCCUACCACCUCCCCCAGAAACGGUUGCAUUUAGGGCGGCUUCUGCUGUCUUGAAAAUCUCCAGAUACACUGACUUCUUCCCUUCAGCCUUCUCAAUUUACUCAUCUCUCCUGCUGUCAAAAAUGUUCUCUUCCUGGCUCCCCAAGCCCCCCCCCCUCAAUUGUUCGCCUUGCCAUUGGUCACCAUGACAACCACCUGUAUUUAAUGGGCUUAAGUCCUCUGCUCCCCCCGCCAGCUGCACUCUGCAAACUCAGAACAUCACUCUAACCACCAGUUCCAACAGCCUCUCGUCUCCUCAGUGCCCGCCCCACUGACCCUGAGGUGUAUUUUAACAUCUCUGAGAAUCCCUUCUGCUUAAAAUGCUAAGCUGAAGGCCUGAAGCCUCCUGCUUGUAAGAAGGAAUGCCACUCUCUGCUCUCUGCCUGCCUGUCUAAAGCCUCUGCCUUCAGAAGCAAACUCAGGUUGGACCUUACCCCCACAGUCUUUCUGGUUCUCGGGCCUUGGACUUGGACUAGAAUCUCACCACGUCUCUCCAGCUUCCCACCUGCAGAUCUCAGGCCUCACACCCAUGCAUCGUGGCUCAUCUCACAUUGGUGCAAGAAGGGUGAAGACAAUACAAGAAGGGAGAGUGGCCGGGCGUGGUGGCAUACACCUGAAUCUGAGCACUCUGGAGGCUGAGGCAGGAGAAUCGCCAUGAGUUCAAGGCCAGCCUGGGCUACACAGUGAGUUCAAGGCCAGCCUGAAC